rnacentral:lncRNA from 1 species
GAGAUUCUUUCAGGGUCAUUCUAAUCCGCCAUUUGAUCCUUUUCCUAAAUUAUCCAUAAAAUGAACCAGGGAUUCUUGGAUAGCUGGUUGACUCCAAGGCUUGAAAGCCAAUUUUAAAAUAGCCUGGAAUACAUAUAUAUAUAUUGUAUAUAUUGAAUACAUGUAUAUAUACUUUUCCUCAAAUUAUCGUCCAUCAUGUUCCAUUACAAGUGACUAGAUAUAGUUCCCUGUGCUCUACAGUAGGAUCUCAUUGCUUAUCCACUCCAAAUGCAGUAGUUUGCAUCUAUUAAUCUCAUACUCCAAGAUCAUCCCACUCCCUUCCCCUCCCCCUCAGCAACAACACAUCUGUUCUCCAAGUUCAUGAGUUUCUUUUCUGUGGAAAGAUCCAUUUGUGCCAUAUAUUAGAUUCCCGGUAUAAGUGAUAUCAUAUGGUAUUUGGUUUUCUCUUUCUGACUUACUUCACUUAGUAUGAGAAUCUCUAUGAGUUCCCUCCAUGUUGCUGCAGAUAACAUUAUUUUGUUCUUUUUAUGGCUGAGAGUAAUCCACUGUGUAUAUACACCACACCUUCAUAAUCCAGUCAUCUGUCAAUGGACAUCUAGGUUGUUUCCUUAUCUUGGCUAUUGUGGAUAGUGAACAUAACGUGUCUUUUUCAAGGAAAGUUUUAUCUGGAUAUAUGCCCAAGAGUGGGAAUGCUGGGUCAUGUGGUAGUUCUAUAUUUAGUUUUCUGAGGAACCUCCAUACUGUUUUCCAUAGUGGUUGUACCAAUUUACAUUCCCACCAACAGUGAACAAGAGUAUCCUUUUCUCCACACCCUCACCAGCAUUUGUUAUUUGUUGACUUCUUAAUGAUGGCCAUUCUGACAGGUGUGAGGUGGUACCUCAUAAGAGUUUUGAUUUACAUUUCUCUAAUAAUCAGUGAUGUUGAGCAUUUUUUCAUGUGCCUAUUUACACUGGUAUAUCUUCUUUGGAGAAAUGUCUCUUUUUUUCAUUUAGAAUUCAUUUAUAAAAAAUAAAUUUCAGUUUGAGACCUCAGGUACCAAAUUGUGGCUUAAUUUAGUCAUGAUGGCGAGGCUAUAAAGUUAUGACACCAUGGUUGGGAAUGUGGGGUGCCAGCUCACUCCCUGCAGUGUGGCCCACAAGGGCAGCCUUCAUGGUCAUAGCCUUGUCACAGCUGGCCAAAAUGCUCAACCCCUGCACAAAUUCUAGGCUUUCUUUGUCCCAAAAUGCCACAAAACUUUACAUUUGAGAUCACCAUUAUGAAACAACUGAUAACCAUGAUACAUUCAAGACAAGAACAGAGGAGCUGUCACUGCUCAGAGCAGAGCCAGCAGCCCAGAGGACACGGCCACUCACCUGGAGCAGAGCGGCAUUGAUGUCCUGCACAGGUGUGGCCCUCACCCCAGAGAACAGUCUCCCACAGUCAGCGCAAGAGUCAGAACAAACAGUGUGGGUUCUGUGCUGGGACAGGGGCAGUGCUGUGCACAUCAGCAAGGACCAUGGUCCUGGCUGUGCCCACCUUAGACCCAGUUUGCACUGAGAUGUUUUCAGCCUUAGACAACUAUGUGAGGAGCAGUAAAGAACUGAACUAAGCAAAAAUAUUUUGCCUCCAAAUACAUACACACAGACACACACACACACAAAAGCAAGUUUCAAACCACUGUCCUCUCUCAGAGUGGACGAGCCACUGGCUGGCCUGUUAUGUGCCAUUGAGGUGAAGACAGUACUCAGUCUGUGGAGUAAGGUGAUGCAGCAAAAACCUGCCCUGAUGCAACCUCAAGCCUAAGGCUGAGCCAGGCCAGCUAGUGUCCUCCGCCAAGGCCAUCGAGCACAGGGCAGUGCUCAGACCUUGCUGAUGGUCCUUUCUGGGGACCAGUACUCCAAGGGGCCUACAAAAGCCAUGGAAAAAGAUUGGGUUUUCCUUUUCAAUCAGGCUUUAUUGUUGGCCAACACGAGGCUAUGCCAGCUUGAACUGACAAUCUCCAAAAUGAAUUUUUCACAGUCUACACACACCUCCAUGGCACUCCAGUCCUCCAUCAGCUCUUUGGGAAUUUAGGUCUUCAUCUGAUUUGUCCACAGACUUGGAUUUUGAGAACAAUCUGGCAAUGCUCCAAAGUUGUUGAUGGUGGCCAGUGGAGGGCUUUUCUGGCCUCAGACAACUUUCCCCUCUCUGCAAGGCAGAAGGUCCCAAUGAAAAGAUAGGAAGGGUGGAGUAUGGCUUGGAGGGCAGCUGCAUCUUCUUGCAACACUGUGAACAAACCGGCCUCUUACAGAACUGACAGGUAUAAGACCAGGUGAAGAAGGAAAAUCUCCUGGUUGGACAACAAAAGCAGAGCUUUUUUUUUUUUUUCAAAGCAGUGUAGAAAUCUUUAUACUGCUGGUAUUUUUCCAGCUCUGCCUUCACCAGGACCUGAUGGAUAUGCAUCACCUCCUCCACAGUCAGUGCCAGGUACUCCACUGGGAAGCAGAACUCCUCAAGCAACCAGGAGCUCCACCUGGAUGGGGGCAGGAACUGCCUCACUUGAUGGGUGUCCUCUCUGGAGUGGCUGCUGUCUCUCUGGCUGGGGUGUGGAGGAUAUGGGCAGGAACUUUGGAGGGUCCUUCCUCUAGAACACAGCCUCUAGAAAGGUUUGGCCAGAGUCGGUGUUUUGAGGAGUUUUCUCUGCUGCACAGGCACCUGCUGUGGGGCAAUGGGCCCAAUUUCUUUUGAUUGUGACCCUCCGUUCACCAUCGAUGACUCCAUAGCACUCUUCAGAGAUUCAGGGGUAGUAAUAUCUAACUGUACAUCUGCUGGUGAGACCGACUGCAGCUUUCUCUCUGCCUUGAUUUCCUCCAGUAUCUUUUCAUGGAGCCUCCAAGGCCACGGUGGGGUAGGUUUCAGUUUUCUGGCUGAGGCUGCAUUCAGAGGAGGUCUUGAUCUGAUGAUCUCAUGAUUUCAUGAGCACUUUUUUUUGUAAUUGAGAAGGAAUAUUACCAUUCACCAUCACUUUUCACAAGGUGUAUCUUUUGGAUCUGAUGUCAUCCAUUAGCAUUUCGUAAGGGGUAAGCUGAUACUCAAUGGGCAGAGGGUUGUACUGCCACUCUUGGACCUUCUCCAUUAUGCAGAUCCCUCAUCACCUGCACCCAGGAUGAAGCCCAGUCAGCAUUUUUCAGCUCCUCCAGGUCUGUGUUAGAUUCAUCAAUCUUCUCCAUUUCUUGAAUAUUCUUCAUAUUCUCUUUUGUACUUUUUAGCCAGAAAUGUAUGCAGCUCCAUUUUCUCUGCAAACAAGGUCUGACAUACUGCCUGAUAAUGAUUUGGUGCUUCUGAUUCAGUUGGGAGGUGAGCGGCACAUAACUUCAUGACAUCUCUAUACAACCAGAGAGCUGAGGUUUUUCUCUUUUCACCGUUGUCCCUCCUCCAGACCUUCCUCCACAGCCUCAUAUCUCUCAUCAUUGCUGCCAUUAGCUUCUGCCAUGUUGGCCUUGCCAUCAAUGAGCUGCUCCAGGGGAGAGCUCAAUUCCCUUUUUUUAUUCUCCUUCAAACCAUAGUCCAAAGCCUUAUAGAUAUUAUUCCUAAAGAUUCAAUAACCUAAAGCAAUGAGCAUUCUGAGCCCUAUGUCAAAUCCCCAAGCCUAGAGAUCUGGCCCUAGGAGAAAGAGCCCCUGGAGCAUCUGGCAUUGAAGGCCAGUGGGGCUUGUGCACAGGAGCUCCACGGAACUGGGGGAAAUGGAGACCCCAUUCUUGAAAGGCACACACAGAUUUUCAUAUGCACUGAGUCCCAGGGCAAAGCAAAGUCUCCACAGGAAUCUGGGUCAGACAUGACUGCAGUUCUCAGAAGAUUUCCUGGGAAAACAGGGGGUGACUAUGGCUCAUUGCUAGGGAAGGACUCUAGAGGCAAAGCUCUCAGGAAUAUUCAUGAGCGAGCAUUUCUCUGGAGGUGGCCAUCCUGGGAAAAUCCGGCCCCACCCAUCUUCUUUGGAGAAAUGUCUAUUCAGGUCCUUUGCCCAUUUUUUAAUCAGGUUGUUGACUUUUUUUGCUUUUGAGUUGUAUAAGUUGUUUGUAUAUUUUAGAGAUUAAGCUCUUGUAAGUUACAUUGUUUGAAACUAUUUUCUCCCAUUCUGUAGGUUGUCUUUUUUUGUUUUUUGUUUCUUGUUUUUAGGGUUUUCUUUGCUGUGCAAAAGUGUGUCAAUUUGAUUAGGUCCCAUUGGUUUAUUUUUGCUUUUAUUUCUACUGCCUUGGGAGACUGACCUAAAAAAACCAUCUGUACAGUUGAUGUCAGAGAAGGUUUUUGCCUGUGUUCUCUUCUAAGAGUUUGAUGAAGUCUUGUCUUUUUAGGUCUUUAAGCCAUUUUGACUUUAUUUUUGUGCUUGGUGUGAGGGUGUGUUCCAAUUUCAUUGUAUUACGUGCAGUCCAAUUUUCCCAGCACCACUUGCUGAAAAGACUUUCCCAUUUUAUAAUCAUGCCUCCUUUGUUGAAGAUUAAUUGACCAUAGGUGUCUGGGUUUAUUUCCAGGUUCUCUAUUCUGUUCCAUUGGUCUGUAUGUCUGUUUUGGUACCAGUACCACAGUGUCUUGAUUACUGUAGCUUUGUAAUAUUGUCUUAAGUCUGGGAGAAUUAUCCCUUAUGCUUGUUUUUUGUUUUGUUUUGUUUUUGUUUGUUUUGUUUUUUCCCUCUCAGGAUUGCUGUGGCAAUUCUGGGUCUUUUAUGGUUCCAUAUAAAUUUUUGGAUUGUUGGUUGUAGUUCUGUGAAAAAUAUCAUGGGUAAUUUGAUAGGGAUUGCAUUGAAUCUGUAGAUUGCUUUGGGUAGAAUGGCCAUUUUUACUAUGUUAAUUCUUACACCCCAGGAAAAUGGAAUAUCCAUUUCUUUGAAUCCUCUUUAAUUUCCUUGAUGAAUGUUUUAUAGUUCUCAGCAUAUAAGUAUUUCACCUUCUUGGUCAGGUCAUCUAGUCACUUGUGAUGGAACAUCAUGGAGGAUAAUGUGAGAAAAAGAAUAUAUAUAUGUGUAUGACUGGGUCACUUUUCUGUACAGUAGAAACUGAAAGAACACUGUAAACCAACUAUAAUGGAAAAAAUAAAAAUAAAAAAA